UACGUAGGGUGCAAGCGUUGUCCGGAAUUAUUGGGCGUAAAGAGCGUGUAGGCGGCCCGAUUAGUCCGCUGUGAAAGUCCAGGGCUCAACCCUGGAAUGCCGGUGGAUACUGUCGGGCUAGAGUCCGGAAGGGGCGAGUGGAAUUCCUGGUGUAGCGGUGAAAUGCGCAGAUAUCAGGAGGAACACCGGUGGCGAAGGCGGGUCUCUGGGCCGUUACUGACGCUGAGGAGCGAAAGCGUGGGGAGCGAACAGG
rnacentral:rRNA from 1 species